rnacentral:rRNA from 1 species
AGCUCCAAUAGCGUAUAUUAAAGUUGUUGCAGUUAAAAAGCUCGUAGUUGGAUUUGUGGUGUGUCCAGUUGGCCUUUGCUCUUUGAGUGAUUGUGCUGUACUGGUCUGCCAUGUUUGGGUGGAAUCUGUGUGGCAUUAGGUUGUCGUGCAGGGGAUGCCCAUCGUUUACUGUGAAAAAAUUAGAGUGUUCAAAGCAGGCUUACGCCGUUGAAUAUAUUAGCAUGGAAUAAUAAUAUAGGACCUUGGUACUAUUUUGUUGGUUUGCGCACUAAGGUAAUGAUUAAGAGGGACAGUUGGGGGUAUUUGUAUUCCAUUGUCAGAGGUGAAAUUCUUGGAUUUUUGGAAGACAAACUACUGCGAAAGCAUUUACCAAGGAUGUUUUCAUUA